UUAAAAAUCUAAUCUCCUACAAUUCAGUGCUAUGUGCUCCUGAAAGUGCGAUCCACACGUAGAAGUUAUGGAGGUACCGCAGGAGGCUGCACAAAGACAGCAAAUAAAUGAACAAGAGCAAGAACAAUACAGACAGCUCAAAUCUCCCGGAAUGACUCUCCGUGAUCUGCAUAACACCCUUCCUCGUCCCGAAAAUUAUUGAAAACCUCCCGCAACACUGGAAGCGUAGAGAAGAUUGAAAGGAGUUCCAGUACUUGCCCAGGAGAGAGUGAAGAGAUAUUCCUCCACCCACUGGCUUUCUCUGAAAGGCAUUAUGUCAUUCCAGUGCCUGAAAGGAUUCCCCACCACUGGACAUGGAAUGAGGCAUACACAGAACCACCCCUAGGGUCUCCAACCCCUCAUCUGUGAAAAAAAAAACUGCACAUGGAUCCAUAGACAACGACAGGGUAAUGGAUGGAAACAAAGACCACUUCCCUUCAAAGGUGACAUCGAGGGAACGUGGCAACCUGUGUGCCUGAUAAACCAGAAUAAUACAAUGACUCCAGCACAGUUUGAACAAUGUCCUACUUGUGAUAUAACAGAGAGUGGAGUCAAAUAUGAAGCCGUAUGUACACAACACAAAGAAAGGGGAGGGGAGGCACACGAUAGUGUACACGGGAUCCACCCUCGGAAUGGACCGCAGACAACCUCAAGCCAUUAAUGGAUGUUAUUAAGAGUAUAUCAUCGAACAAUGGGUUAUGGGGAUGUAUACAUGAUAAUGGUGAUUGGAAAUGUGUUAAUGUUAUGGGGCAAAGGGUAGCAAAGCCCACAUGUAAUGAUACAUGGGAAAAUACAGGGUAUGUAGGGGUAUGAGUUGCAGUUCCAUUCCACUCAAUGUCCCCCUUUAAUGCCCUCUCCCCCAGGCGGAUUGGUAGCUGUGGGAGGAGCAAAACCACUAGUAAUGGGAGUCACCUGGUUGCAAACGUUGGUAAGAGUAAAGAUAUCAAACAACAAUGCGCUAAAAGGUUAGAGAGUUCAGAUUACUGACAGAAAUAUUUAAUAAAGCAAUGAAUCGGGAGCUUAAAAAUUACCAGCAUAAUGCAGGUGGCCGACAGAGAAGGAGUUUGAUUGAUGACAUGGCUGGGUGGUUCGGAGCUGUGAAUUCAGGCUUCAACUCUAUAGAUAGUUGUGGCAAAGUGCUCACCCCUGUGUGUAUUU